CUGGCUCGGGGCCGAGGAGACGACCGCGUAGAAGCCUG
rnacentral:misc_RNA from 1 species